AGGUAAGUCACUGGAGGAGAGUGACUGUGAGAACGCGUUCCCGGGAAGGGAACUUAGGCGCCGAUCCGACUUAGAACUAUUUCGGAACUCUAAGUCGAGAUCUUGACUAGAUUCCGAUCUCGGAGAGACGAAAUUUAAUUAAUACUCUCUUUGUUAAAUUAUAAGCUGUGCUGACAAUUUAUUUUGCAGGAUAUACAUUGUCUCGGACUAACCUUGUCUUGCAGGAGAAGGAGUUUCUGGAGAAAGGUGGUUUGGGCGCCCGGAGGCAAGUUUUAUCCUCCUCGCGUCGUCGCCACGUGGAGCCUCCUGGUUGGGUCGGCUACGUCAUGGUCGAGGCGCCCUGAAGGUUCCAGGCGCCCCGAGUCUCCUAUAUAAGGAGGGUCAAAGGCGGAGCUCCAACAACAACUCAGAAUUCAAGAUCCACUACUCUGUGCUCCUGCGACGCUGCGAACAGAUCUCCGACUCAGUGUUGUCUUUCAUUUUUUAUUCUAUAGUCGGUAUUUUCUUUCUAUCAGUUCUUGUACUUUAAUCUUGUAAUUCUAUUUUUGAAUUGAUAGUGAUUGCCCAUCGAAAGCACCCUCGUGUGCGAGCCUUGGAAUAGGAGUCACCAAAGGCUCCGAACCAAGUAAAUCGUUGUCUUCUCUGGCUUGUCUUUUGUCUUUCCGCUGUGAUUACUCUUUACGAAAGUUUUUUGUUGUCGAUAUUCACCCCCCCUCCUCUAUCGACUUUCACGAUCCAACAGUUUAUUAUUGAUGAUUGCCAUAGCUAACAAGCCUAUUUAUACAUAUUGCCAAGAUAAUAUAUGAAAAAUGGAUGUGAAUGCAAUCCAAACAUAGAAAGUUAUCAAUAAUUGAAACUAAUUUCUAAUUAAUAUCCUCGACUGCUAUUUUUGUUGUCAUCACUACCUUUGUUAUCAUCACCCUCGACAAACUCGACAGGGAGAUAUCGAAUGUUGAGUUUGGUUGCCAAUUUAUUGAAACAUCUUCAAUUAUAUGACUAAUCAAAUUUUCUAAAAUAAUGACCACUAGUAGAUAAAGAGCUGCAAAAAACUAUAGUUUUGUUGUUGUUGAAUUUCUGGAAGAGGACAGUGAUAACUAGUAUUUUUUGCGCAUUAUUUUGGCUCUUAUUCUUGGAAUUUUUAUCUUCUCGCAUGUUUAAUUAUGUAUUUAUAUUAUGUUUUAUGAGUAUGAUCUAUUUUAGACUUAAUUGUAAAUUUUCUAUAAAUUGUGGUAUUUAAUCUCAUAUUUUUAUUAUGGAUGUGUAAGAAAUCAAAAGAGUCAUCGAUUAGUAUCAAGUCGGAUCAAAUUUGACUUGAUUUGGAGGUCAAAUGAGGGAGAUCAAGCAGAAUUAAUAUGAGCCGUUGAUUCAGAUCCAAAGAUCUUGUUCCUUCAUUCAGAUCAAAGCCAUCCCGUCCUCAUCUAGAUUUGAAGCUAUGUUGACCAUCAGAUCUAAAAAGAUCCAUCUUCAUCAAAUCGGACGGCCCAGAUUAAAGGAGGAGAAAACCCUUUCCUUUAUUCUUCGCACGGCACAGUACCCACGGGGCCGUCUCUGUUCGCGACUUCUCCUCGAGCUAGGGCUCGCGACGCCACCGCCCUUCGUCACUUCCUCCUUCACCAACGGCCGGCGGCCACUUCUCAUCAUUCAUCGCUGCCGGCCGGACUUCUCCUCCACCUCUUCACAGCCGCCUGUCGGAGCUUCCCCUCACUUCCUCCAUCUGCCGGCCAUUGAUUUCCACUGCCGGCUCUUCCACAGUUCUUCUCCUUCUUAGAUUUCGGCGGCGAGCGACAGCAGUCUUCACCUCGCCGGAGAGGGUUUCUCCGGUGUGACCUCCACUUCCGACUCCCGUCCGAUAGCUUCUUCCAACUGGGGUUCAGGCAGCAGAGCAAGAAGGAGCGGCAGUUCAUCCAAUUUCACAGCGCCUCACGGCACCUCCAUUACUUCCGUUCAGCUUCCAUCCGAGGGGGUUCUUCGGUGGAAGAUCAUCGCCGUUGUUGAAGUGUGCACAGCCGGUACCUAUGCUGCUGUCCACUGGUUCUGGGGUUCUGGAGCUGGAAAUUGUGACGGCAGGGAGAAUUAGAAGAGGAGAAGUCAUCACCCAUUCCGCCUCAUUUCAGUCAGCAGUUCUUCAUCUGUUCAGUACAAUUGUUGGGUUGUUUCUUUCCUUUAAAGUUUUCAUGUGUUGGUUGAUUUGUUGAGUUAAUCAUUUGGUUGUAUGAUUGUUGGUUGUUGAGUAUGUUAAAUGCUUGUAUCGAAUUGAACUCCCUUGUUAAGGUUUUAUGCAUUAGUUUCAAUUUGAUGAUUUCUCACAACAUGUUCGGUAAAAUGCCUCAACCAAUUGUGCUAUUCUAAUUGAUGUUAUUUCUUUAGUGUAA